rnacentral:lncRNA from 1 species
UCCUAUUUAAAGACCUGAAAAUCUAGUUGUUUCAAAUUAGAGUAAAAUUUUAUAUGAGACUAAUUUUCACGAGCUAGUAAUUUAAUCAGAAAAUGAAGAUCAUUCUAUUGAUGUCCAUCGCCUUUAUCAUACUCUUGACAUCAUCCCCGAUCAAGAGUCAAAACCUCAACAAGAUUUGCUCUGAAAGUCUUCAUUUCUGUCAUGGCCUUCGUGAGAAAAAUCUGGAUCGUUUCUAUUUUUCCCAAUGUUGUGCUAGUCUUACAAGGCCAACACGCACAAAAAACUGUGUGUGUUUGUUUCUUGAUGACCCUCACCAAAAAAAACUUCUUAGGGAUAUUUACCGGAUUUGUUACCUUGAGAAUCGUGUUCCUGACAAAUCUGAGGUAGGGUGUAAAUGAUGCGACCUUAAAGUUGUUAACCAACCAAACGGUCAAGGAUCGUCUAACCAAACAAGAGAUACAAUAGUUAGGUCUAUGUCUUUUUAAAUCGCUUUUAAGUAAUUGUUCAAUAAGGAGAGAGAAGGUUUUGUAUUCUUUUAAAAAUCCUUAAUUAAUACAUGUCCC